UUGGCGAGGGGGCUGGGGGCUGUCGGGCUCGUACCCGAGGAAGUUCCGCCCACCGCACCGGGGCCGCGGUGCCGCAAGGCACCUCCCGAGAGGGAGGGCAACGGCACAGAAACGACACGUCCCUCGGGGGAUGUGGAUGAAAGCGGUGAAGGCUCCCGGCGACGGGAGCCGAGCUAACCCGCAGACAAUCCCGAGGGGAUCGGUGAAACGGCCGUCCCGCGGGGUGCAAGGCCGAGUUAGGGCCGAUGAGUUCCCGGUGUGAGGCCCGUGGUAGGCCGCUUAGUCGAAUGCCCCCGUAGUACAGAAGGCGGGCUAUAGCCCCCUCGCCCA
rfam:Pyrococcus abyssi GE5 complete genome; segment 1/6